AGUAAGCAGCAAACGGAUGUGUUUUUUAGAAUCAAUCAAAAAAAUAUGCAAAAAUAUCUGAAGUUGUUGACGGUUUUUUUAAUCGUUGCUCCAAGAUGGACAGGGAGCAUACGAUUAAAUGAAGACACUGAGAAAAAAAUUGAAGAAAAUGAGAAAAAAAUAAGACAAUUGGAAGCUCAAAAUCUCGAGAACGAAAAAUAUCUUAACUUUGAGGAAGCAAUAAAUUCUACAAGAGAUUAUAUUUCAUCUUUGGAGAAUCAAUUAAAUCAGUGUCGAGAGCAGAGCAAAAAUCACACAGAUAUUCUCCAGUUGAAAAUAAAUGAUAACGAAAUCAAAUUAAAGGUUAAAGAUGAGAUUAUUGCUAAGCAAAAAACUGAAAUAGAACAAAAUGUAUUACUCUUGAAGAUUCAAGAAAAUGAUAUCAACAAAAAUAAUCAACAACUAGAGGAUUACAGAGAUCUAAUAGAAAGCUUGAAAUCAAUUAUAAAACCUUGUGAAAAUGUAAUAUCAUUUCUGGAGUCGGGAAACAAUAAGACUAAUCAGCAAAAUUCAAAACUAGACGCAACGUGCAUUAAUUCUUUGAACGAACUACAGCAGGAAAACACAAAGUUAAAUUCACAGCUUCAAAACAUUUCAAUGGAAAUAUCAUAUCUAGAAAAUCAACUCAAUGGUUGCAAAUUAAAUAACACUAAGUUUGCCAAAUAUAAUCAUGAUUACCAAAUAUUAUUAGCCCAAUGCCAAAAGAGUAAAGAAGAUAUGCAAAAAGAGAUUCAGAAUAAAAAAAUAAUCCAAAAUGAGCUAAACGAUUGCAAAAAUUACUGUUCUGACAUCGAAAAUCAGCUAAGAGUCACUCAACUGAAUGAAUUUGAUAGAUUUACAAAAAGAGCUGACAAACUUAAAUUUUUUUAAAGAACAGUACGUAGAAAGUCUUCCAGACUCCUGUAUCGGUUGGACAGAUGGUAUACUAAAGAUACAACUUCCAAAUAAAGAAAGUAGUAAUGUUCUUUGUGAUGAUGAUGUUUGGAUAAUAAUUCAGCGUCGAAUUAAUGGAAAACAAGAUUUUGAUAAAAAUUGGCAAGAAUACGUGAAUGGAUUUGGGGACAUAAAUGGGGAAUUUUGGAUUGGAUUGGAAAAAUUGCAUCUGCUCACAAGUUCAGAUCGUGACCAGCUAACCAUUUUAAUGACAAUUGAUAGAUAUACAAGUUUUGUUGAAUAUAAAGACUUUCGUGUAGGCAGUUCAGAUUCCCUAAAUUGGAAUCAUUAGGAAAAUUUCUAAAUAGAGAGACUAUGUAUCCAUUUUAUAAAAAUUCGUUAAAUGGUAAUGUAAAUAAGAAAUUCUCAACAUACGAUAAGAAUAAUAUUCCAAAUCAUCAUGCAAAUUGCGCUGAAAAUGGCAUGGGUGGCUGGAGGUAUACGGCUAACUGUGGUAGCAGCAACUUAAACGCGCCAUACAAUGGUCAACUGUCCUAUGCUACAGCAAUCUCCGUAACUAUGAAGAUUCGCCCGUUUCCUACAUAUUGCACUCUUUUAUUAUUUAAAGUUUGCUGAUGUCAGAGUGCGCGCAAGAAGCAAAGCUAAGCGUGAAACGACGAGCAAGACUGUAGGCAGAGUGAAAGCCUUAAGAGAAACGAGAUGAAGCGAGAAAGUGGUUUGCGAAUUGCUCUUUUUCUCUCUCUCUCUCUCUCUCUCUCUCUUUCCUUUAGUUCUCGCUUCGCUCUCACUCCGAACUCUUUCCAGCAAUUCUAUUCAAACAUCAUCGCUCGUUUUCGCCCAAUAUUAUGGCUUCACUUCUUGCUUGCACUCAGCCUAACAUCAAUUUAAUGUCAUACAAAAACAUGUAUUUUUUUGCUAAUAUAUUGUUUUAUCUGCUAAGACAGAUAACAGUUCUUUUUUUUUUAAUAUAAUACUUUGUCUACAUUUUUAAAAAGAUUAUUUGCAACACUUUUAAAUUAAAAUUAACGAGAAGAAGGAUAUGAAUGCCUUACAACAUCAUUUAAAAAUGCCAUUUUCAACAUGUAAUAGAAAUUCUUCUAUUAGGUAUACAAAUAAGGGACGUAUUUUAAUAAAUAUAAUUCGUAAUUGGUGAAGCUUAAAUGUAAAUUAAUAUGAAAAAUUUAAUAUGAUAAUCUGAUAUUUGUAGAAUAUGGUUUUGUUGAAAAUGGGUACCUGAGCAUA